AUAAAAUGGUAAUUUUAUGCUGUUCAUGGAGUGCCGCUCUUUGGGAACAGACGUAAAACUACGUAUAAUUGUAUCAUCUAAUCCAAAGUUUGUGGAAUACAUCUAAAUUAAGUGGUCUGGUGCAAGGAUUUUUGAUUACACAUGUGCAUUUUGUUGUUCCUUAAUACCCCUCUUGAAUCUUUUACCCCAUUUUGUGUUUCUUAU